AAGUGGAUCCUCAAUGAACUGCAGUUUUUAGCACUUCGUCAUUGGACUCAUAUUUUUAGACCAGAGGUUGCCGCUUGGAGGAAACGUAACAAACGCCAACACAAGAUAACCGUGAGAGUCAGCUUCAAACCCACACAAGAACCUUUGACUAUGAGGACUGGACCCACCUGAGGACUGGACCCAGCAGAGUGUCUGCAACAUGUCCAGACCUGAAGUUUGACAGAACAUUUAAAGUCCUCAGCUCGUGUCUCCUCAGCUGUUUCACCUGCUCACAGCUGAGAGCCUCACAUCAGCGAUCCCCCGAGGGGGUGCCCCGCUGACGAGCUGCAUGCUCAAACCGUCGACUUCAUAAACUCUCUUCAAGGAAGAUGAAGCUGCUGCAGAGAUGUGAGAUACUUCAAACACUCAAACACACAGGUGAACUCUGUGUACACUCUUCUUCAGACAUUAAUCUUCACACUGAGAUGAUGAGCAGAUAAAACUCUCUCAGCCGUCACUCACACGCCCCGCUCUUUAGAGAAACUGUUGUUGUGUAGUUUGGAUGUUUCAUGCAUCAACAAGUGUUUUGUUGAUAAAUGUGGAGCGUACAAACACAACGUCCACGAGCAGGGAAUAAAUCCUCACUGAACACAAACAGUCUGAAUAAUUAAUCUGCUUCUGUUCAUGUUAUUAUUAAAACAUGAAGGUAUAACAUUUGUCCACAAUAGUGUGAAAACAAAACCUG